AGCGAUUCCGAAGGUAGAACGGGUAGUAGGUACCGUUCUUCUGCGUCAACCGAAUCUUUUGUUCCGUUUUGCCGCUGUGGAUGUUGUCUUACGUGCCUUGUGGACUACCCUAAAUCUGGGUCGAAGAUUUCGCAGGUGCCUGGGUAACGAGGGUCAGUACUGCGGCACGUUCCAAUGGGUGGACCCCCAUAUGCCGCAAGUCAAAAGAGAUCAUUCCCGGACUGUUGAAUCAUAUCUCCAAAUAUGAAAGUCAGAUGAAACAUUUGAAUGAUAGCCUACAGGCGGAGGAGACGCGCCGUUGUACAUUAAUAAAUUAUUUGAUCGUCUUAAUCAUUGUUUGGCUAAUAACUUUUUCUAUUGCAUUGAAUAUCUAAUCUUGUUUAAUCACUCCGACUGUGUAUAAUUUUUUGUUAGCUCAGGCACUUCA